rnacentral:rRNA from 1 species
GACGAACGCUGGCGGCGUGCUUAAUACAUGCAAGUCGAACGGAAAGGCCCUGCUUUUGUGGGGUGCUCGAGUGGCGAACGGGGGUGUAAAACGUGAGUAAACUGCACUUGACUUUGGGAUAAAUUUAGGAAACUGGGGCUCAUACCGGAUAGGAGAUACUGCUGCGUGGGGGGGGAUGGUAAGAUUCGGCGGUGGGGGAUAGUAUAGCGGCUUAUCAGCUUGUUGGUGGGGUAGUGGCUUACCAAGGCUUUGACGGGUAGCCGGCCUGAGAGGGUGACCGGCCACAUUGGGACUGAGAUACGGCCCAGACGCCUACCGUAGGCAGCAGUGGAGAACAUUGCGCAAUGGGCGGAAGCCUGAGGCAGCAACGCCGCGAGCGUGAUGACGGCCUUCGGGUUGUGAACCGCUUUCUCCUGAAACAAGGCGUGAUUGACGGUAAUGAGUAAAAAAGCACCGGCUAACUACGUG